rnacentral:rRNA from 1 species
GAGCGCCCCGCAAGGGGAGCGGCAGACGGGAGAGUAACACGUGGGAACGUACCCUUCAGUUCGGAACAACCCAGGGAAACUUGGGCUAAUACCGGAUACGUCCGUAAGGAGAAAGAUUUAUCGCUGAAGGAUCGGCCCGCGUCUGAUUAGCUUGUUGGUGAGGUAACGGCUCACCAAGGCUACGAUCAGUAGCUGGUCUGAGAGGAUGAUCAGCCUCACUGGGACUGAGACACGGCCCAGACUCCUACGGGAGGCAGCAGUGGGGAAUAUUGGACAAUGGGCGCAAGCCUGAUCCAGCCAUGCCGCGUGGAUGAUGAAGGCCCUAGGGUUGUAAAGUCCUUUCGGCGGGGAAGAUAAUGACGGUACCCGCAGAAGAAGCCCCGGCUAACUUCGUG